rnacentral:rRNA from 1 species
AUUGAACGCUGGCGGCAGGCCUAACACAUGCAAGUCGAACGAGUGGCGGACGGGUGAGUAAUGUCUGGGAAACUGCCCGAUGGAGGGGGAUAACUACUGGAAACGGUAGCUAAUACCGCAUACCAUCGGAUGUGCCCAGAUGGGAUUAGCUAGUAGGUGGGGUAACGGCGCACCUAGGCGACGAUCCCUAGCUGGUCUGAGAGGAUGACCCGCAACACUGGAACUGAGACACGGGCCCGUCUCCUACGGGAGGCAGCAGUGGGGAAUAUUGCACAAGGGGCGCAAGCCUGAUGAAGCCAUGCCGCGUGUAUGAAGAAGGCCUUCGGGUUGUAAAGUACUUUCAGCGAGGAGGCGUUACGCGCAGAAGAAGCACCGGCUAACUCCGUGCCAGCAGCCGCGGUAAUUC